GGCUGUCUUAACGCAGGCAGAGGGGUGUGGCAGAUCUCCAACCGCUCGGGGUCCCGUGAUUUCCAUUAAUGAAUUCGCACACUGGCGUUACCACUCAACACACCGACGACUGCAUUGUACCAUCACUAGAAUCUAGUGCUUAAUGGCAACUCGCCCUUUCCAAAGGGUCUCAACAAGAAGCAAGACGAUAGACAACAAUUAGCUAAAUCUACAUUAUUGGACAUGAUGGCUAAGUAAAAAACAUCACACCAGAAUCAAGGGGGAGUUCCCGUGCACAUGCUGUCUUGCCUGCCACC
rnacentral:lncRNA from 1 species